UACGUAGGGCGCAAGCGUUAUCCGGAAUUAUUGGGCGUAAAGAGCUCGUAGGCGGCUUGUCGCGUCUGCUGUGAAAACCCGGGGCUCAGCCCCGGGCCUGCAGUGGGUACGGGCAGGCUAGAGUGCGGUAGGGGAGAUUGGAAUUCCUGGUGUAGCGGUGGAAUGCGCAGAUAUCAGGAGGAACACCGAUGGCGAAGGCAGAUCUCUGGGCCGUAACUGACGCUGAGGAGCGAAAGCAUGGGGAGCGAACAGG
rnacentral:rRNA from 1 species